rnacentral:sRNA from 1 species
UAUCUGGUUGUGACGGAGAAAUUAUGGG